CCCCCUCCCCGGGCACGCGGCGAGGGAGGCGGCCGGCGGCCGGCAGCGCCCGCGCGGGAUCGAUGACUCGGCUGGCGGGCACGGUCACCUGGGUGAGGGGCAGCGGAAGGGGCGGCGGAGCACCGAUCUCAUGGAUGGGCUCCGAGGGGCUUGCGGGAGGGGGGCGCCAGUGUUCGGGGCCGUUUUGGCGGCUAUGCAGGAUUGGCAGGAGCUGCGAUGCUCACACUUGCCUCGCCGACCGCCAUUUCACAUCCAGCAGAGGAGGCGGGGGCAGCCGCUGAGACGGUUUUUCACAAGAAAUUAUUUUAAUAGAGAUGAGGUCUCACUAUAUUGCCCAAGCUGGUCUCGAACUCCUGGGCUCAAGCGAUCUUCCUGCCUCAGCCUCCCAAAGUGCUGAGAUAACAGGUAUGAGCCACCAUGCCCUGCGAAAUUAUUCUUUUUGAGACAGAGUGAGACUCUGUCACCCAGGCUGGGGUGCAGUGACCCAAUCUCAACUCACUGCAGUCUUGACUUCCCAGGCUCAAGCAAUCCUCCCACCUCAGCCUCCUGAGUAGCUGGGACUACAGGCGUGCACCUCUACACCCAGCUAUUUUUCAUAUUUUUUUGGAGACAGGGUUUCACUAUAUUGCCCAGGCUGGUCUCGAACUCCUGAGCUCAAGUGAUCUGCCUGCCUUGGCCUCCCAAAGUGCUGGGAUUACAGGUGUGAGCCAUGGCGCCCAGCCUCAAGCUAAAUUAUUCUUUGUGUCAUCCCUUUUCUUUCCUUCACUUUCAGAUAACUCAGUUUUCUUAACUACUGUAGGGCAAAUGUCUGAGUCAUUUAGUUCAGUGUUCCUCAACCAGGGGUGAUUUUUGCCGCCCUAGGGGACAUUUGGCAAAAUAUCUGGAGGCAUUUUUGAUUAUCACAUCUUACAAUGCAUAGGGCAGCCCCUGCAGCGCAAAGAAUUAUCAGGUCCAAAGUGUCAAUAGUGCAGGUGUUGAAAAACCCUGGCCUAGUUUAAAGUAAAUUUGUACCCAGCCCUUCAUCCAGUCUCUUGCCUUUAUGAAACCAUGAUGGAAAAGAAACUCAUUCCCUUUCAGAGGCAUUUGGAAGGCCUAAGUAAGUACGGCAAACUUUGGAGUCAAUUGCAUCAACCAUACAAAGUCCCAAAAGGCUUUAUAUGCAGGUUUCUGCAAUUUCUCCAUAGAACCUUCCUGGGUACAAGGUAGGCACAUAAAUAUUUGUUGCCUAAAUGAAUAAUAAUAAAAUAAUUCUUGGCUAAAAGACAUAUUUUAUUUCUUUCUCUUUAAACCAAAGUCAGAUUUAUCAUGUGGUGAGAGAUGAAUUUCCUGAACAGAGAUCUCUCUAUUCAUUUUAACCAAUUAAUUUACUCAGUUACUCAGAGAAGCAAAACUUUUCUGAAACAACUUCCACUUCCAUAAGUUAGCAGUAAUAGUCUUAAGGAAGGAAUUGAUAGCCUAUAAAUUAAAGAUGAUGUUUGAGGAACAAGAAAUAAAAGAAACUUUCAGAAUAGAGUAAUAUUAGAACUGAUGCCUGAGCUUUCCAGGACCCUCAUUUAAAUUACAUAUCCAGAAUUGAUAUUGGAGCAUUUCCAAUGGAUUAUAUUAUAGAUAGGCAGGAGGAGACCAAACACACAUAGAGUAAGGAUAGAUAAAAUUCCCAAUUUAAAUAAUUAAGAUGCAAAAUCUCAGAAGCUAGGUAUCUAUUUGGAUCAACAUAUCUCAGGGUAGUUUCCCCUGGCCCCAAAGUUUAUUGCAUUUUAAUAUUCACAGUGUAAAUCACAUUCCAGAAAAACUCCCACUAAAAAGCUUUUUACUGAGACUGGGCAGGGUGGCUCAUGCCUGUAAUCCCAGUACUUUGGAAGACCAAGGUGAGAUUAUUGCUUGAGCCCAGAAGUUUGAGACCAGCUUGGGCAACAUAGUGAGACCUUGUCGCUACAAAAAAUUAACAAUUAGCCAGGCGUGGUGAUGUAUGCCUGUAGUCCCACUUACUCAGGAGGCUGAGGCAGGAGGAUCACUGGAGCCUAGGAAGUUGAAGCUGCAGUGAGCCAUGAUCACCACUGCACUCCAGCCUGGGUCACAGAGCAAGACCCUGUCUCAAAAAACACACACACAGAAAACUUUGUUAUUGACACUGGAUUCUCCUAGAUUUUGCUUUAUUUUACAUCCUCAUUCCAGAGGCCAGAAAAGACUACUUAUUCUCAGAUGUGUAAAUAUAGAUAAGUCCUUCUGUUUCUUCAUUUUCUCAAUAAAAUGUAUUUUUCCAAUUUUAAAAGUUUUUAAAUGCAUAGCAUGGAAAACAUGGAGGACAAUAAAGAAAAAUAUAGAACAUUCAGUCUCACCCAGUGGAAGUCAUGAUUAACAUUCUAGUCCAUUCUGUUUCUAGAAAAUUUUUCUGUAAAUAUAUUACAUAGAGAAAAUAAUGUCCUAGUUUUUUCACUUUGCAUCAUAACAAGCAUUUUCCAUGUAAAUUAAAACUCUUCAUAUACAUUGUUUUAAUGGCUGCAAAAUAUGCUGUGUUGUGGACAUAUGAUAAUUUACCUAACCAUUUUCCCACUGUUGGCCAACAACAGAAUGGUUCAAAUUUUACAUUAUCUUGUAUAUCACACUGAGCAUUUUUAGGCUGAAAAUUUUGCUCCAUUUUGGAUCCUAUCCUGAAUUUUUCAAGGAACUUACUUUCUAGUUCACUAUUUGAUAUCACCAGUUCUUGGUACAUACCAUGUUCUUUCUACACAGAAGAGAGAAUUGCAUGUGAUACUCAUUCUGCCUGGUUUGCUCUUCCUUUCCCUGUCUCUUUUUGCCAAGUUAACCCACUCUUUUCUUUCUUAAAGAUUUCAGUAAGUAGGAGUAGAGACCUUCCUGUGUCAGUACUUAGUCAAAAUAUAAAAUUGGAAUAGGAAGAAGAUUUUUUAAUAGAGGUUUUUUUGUUGUUUGCUUUUUUUACUUGAAGUUCCGGGAUACAUGUGCAGAAUGUGCAGGUUUGUUACUUAGGUAUACAUGUGCCAUGGUGGUUUGCUGCACCUAU
rnacentral:lncRNA from 1 species